rnacentral:rRNA from 1 species
AUACGCCUACGGGGCGCAGCAGUAGGGAAUUUUCGUCAAUGGGCGCAAGCCUGAACGAGCAAUGCCGCGUGAACGAGGAAGGUCUUCGGAUCGUAAAGUUCUGUUGAAGGGGAAAAAGAGCGGAGAGAGGAAAUGGUCUCCGAUUGAUAUUACCCUUCGAGGACGUCACGGCUAACUACGUGCCAGCAGCCGCGGUAAUACGUAGGUGGCGAGCGUUAUCCGGAAUGAUUGGGCGUAAAGGGUGCGUAGGCGGCCUGCUAAGUCUGGAGUGAAAGGUACCGGCUCAACCGUAACAGGCUCUGGCA